AGUGGAUGGGGAACAACCUAGUUGUGCGUGUGUAAAGGUAGUGCCAAGAAAAGCGGUGAUCAUGAUGAAAAUCAAUUCCCGGUACCCGAAACCGACACAGGUGGGCAAGUAGAGAAUACUAAGGGGCGCGAGGUAACUCUCUCCAAGGAACUCGGCAAAAUGACCCCGUAACUUAGGGAGGAGGGGUGCCACCGAGAGGUGGUCGCAGUGAAGAGGCCCAGGCGACUGUUUAGCAAAAACAUAGGUCUCUGCAAACUCGAAAGAGGAGGUAUAGGGGCUGACGCCUGCCCAGUGCCGGAAGGUUAAAGAAGUUGGUCAGUCUUAGGAUGAAGCUAGCGACUGAAGCCCCGGUGAACGGCGGCCGUAACUAUAACGGUCCUAAGGUAGCGAAAUUCCUUGUCGGGUAAGUUCCGACCCGCACGAAAGGCGUAACGAUCUGGGCGCUGUCUCGGAGAGAGGCUCGGCGAAAUAGGAUUGUCUGUGAAGAUACGGACUACCUGCAUUUGGACAGAAAGACCCUAUGAAGCAUUACUAUAGCUUGGAAUUGUGUUCGGGCUUCCUGUGCGCAGGAUAGGUGGGAGGCGUAGAAGGUAUUCUUGUGGGGAUACUGGAGCCAACGGUGAGAUACCACUCUCAGGAGGCUAGAAUUCUAACUUAAUUAAGGACAGUUUCAGGUGGGUAGUUUGACUGGGGCGGUCGCCUCCAAAAAGGUAACGGAGGCGUACAAAGGUUCCCUCAGACUGGUUGGAAAUCAGUCGCAGAGUGCAAAGGCAGAAGGGAGCUUGACUGCGAGAAGUACAGUUCGAGCAGGGUGGAAACACGGUCUUAGUGAUCCGACGGUGCUGUGUGGAAGGGCCGUCGCUCAACGGAUAAAAGUUACUCUAGGAUAACAGGCUGAUCUCCCCCAAGAGUUCACAUCGACGGGGAGGUUUGGCACCUCGAUGUCGGCUCAUCGCAACCUGGGGCGGAAGUACGUCCCAAGGGUUGGGCUGUUCGCCCAUUAAAGCGGUACGUGAGCUGGGUUCAGAACGUCGUGAGACAGUUCGGUCCAUAUCCGAUGUAGGCGUGAGAAUAUUGAGAGGAGCCUUCCUUAGUACGAGAGGACCGGGAAGGACGCACCGCUGGUGUACCUGUUAUGAUGCCAAUUGUAAAUGCAGGGUAGCCAAGUGCGGAGAGGAUAACCGCUGAAAGCAUCUAAGUGGGAAGCCCACCUCAAGAUGAGUAUUCUGGUGUAAGGUCACGGGAAGACGACCCGUAAAUAGGCACGAGGUGGAAGUGCAGAGAUGUAUGAAGCCGAAGUGUACUAAUAGACCGUCGGCUUGACCA
rnacentral:rRNA from 1 species